rnacentral:pre_miRNA from 1 species
AACCAGAAUUUGACAUAAAAUCCAAUUGGCGAUAUUAUGCACAUUUUCUGGCGUA